rnacentral:lncRNA from 1 species
GCAUUUAUACAAAGGUGUGAGAGAGUCUCUACCUCGUGCAUCAUGGCUCAUUUGAAAGUAAGUAUCUUCCCCAUGAACAGCCUCGAUGAUGCGCAAGAACAACUCCUUCUGCAUCCGAAAACUGCGUCGAAAAAAUGUAGGCCAGUACGUCGGAUUGUCGCUGAAGUAGUCUUGCAUAAGAUGUAAAUGGGCAGCCUCACGAUCACGAUGGACGUAUUGUCGGUGAUGAACAACACGUUCCGGCUCCGAUUGGGAGUACAUCGAAGCAACACUACAAAAAAAUAUAUCGGACACCGAC